UUUAGCGGCCUCUAACGGUGAGGUUCUAGAUUGAAGCACUCCGCCGCUCAACCCUCCCCUCCCUAAGACUUUGGAGAGGUUCCAGAAGCUACGGUGGCCUUCAAGGACAAGAAGCUAUUUGCUGAAGAUGUCAUCGUCCACGACAACUUCGAGCAUUUCUAACAAGUCAAGCGAUGAGAGUCAAGUACAGGAGGUUAGAGGGAGAGGAAGAGGGCAAGUUAGCGGUGCUGCUGCAGGCAGGGCCAGGCGAGGGAGGGGAGCAAACACCAGCACCGUGGAAGCAGGGGAAGAGGCUGGAAACCCCCCAAAGGGACCGAAGCGACUGAGAAACUUCUUGAAGAGAUGACCUUGAAGGAGCACAGGCAGCUCACCAGUGAACUGCUUCAGAGGCAGCCAGGGUUCAUUUUUGAUGCCUUGAUGAUGCAUCAGUGCAGGCAUGGUGUCCCACCGUUUGCUGGAGUGCCAAGGGUACCAUGGUGUACUUGUAGUAACUGUACAGACAUGCCUACGGACCGGGAAAGGAAAUGCUGUGGCCAGUACCCUGCAGAUUGUGUGAGCCUAAUACCGCACUUCCCCCAGUACUGUCUUGAAAAUGCUUUUUAUGCAUUCACAGGCGGUACUGGGAGGACAUUAUUGUAUUUGGCCAAACCAGGAAGCCUGGGGAUGACAACCGGGAGUAUCGUUAUGCUGCCUAUAGACAUUUCAUCUAUUGACAGCAUGGCUCUUUAGGCUAGGGAAACCGACUUGUCAUCCCCAGUUGCUGUGUUUGGAGGAUCAGGGACAAGUUCCCUGGUCCUCCAAAGACAUCACACUGGUUUGACACCUGGCCUCUGAGUUUCCCUCCAGGUCCUCUGGAACGUCCACACAGUAUCUCAGGUACUCACACACCUGCCUGUUCAUCAUCAAACCAUCUCAUAUUUAUUUGUUACAUUUCUGAUAUUUUAUUUAUUUU